UGUAGCUAGCCAUUCAUUCAGAUCCUGGUAUUAGGCCAUGGUAUAAAGGUGCCUAGUAGGUCGGACUGUCUUCCUCUCUGUCUCUCGCUCGGUUUGUCCCUGGGUUUCACGCAGGAGCCAAUCGCCAGCUCUGCGUCUCCCUUACUCUGCCGUGGCUGUAUGGAACCUGACCUGUCUAGCAUUAGAUAACUCUCCCCUGCAGCUUAUGACGAUGGCACGGCGUGU